GACAGAGGGUGCAAACGUUGUUCGGAAUUACUGGGCGUAAAGCGUGCGCAGGCGGUUGUGCAAGACAGAUGUGAAAUCCCCGGGCUUAACCUGGGAACUGCAUUUGUGACUGCACAGCUGGAGUGCGGCAGAGGGGGAUGGAAUUCCGCGUGUAGCAGUGAAAUGCGUAGAUAUGCGGAGGAACACCGAUGGCGAAGGCAAUCCCCUGGGCCUGCACUGACGCUCAUGCACGAAAGCGUGGGGAGCAAACAGG
rnacentral:rRNA from 1 species